rnacentral:antisense_RNA from 1 species
GUCAAUGAUGGGCUGAUUGAGGGGAUCGAAAGAUCCACCGUUUCUCGUAACACGGUACGCCAACCUUGAUCAGUUCAUCACCAGU